CUCAAGCUGGGACCUGAUUGCUUUAGGGGAGACAGAGACGAGAUUGCCUGAGUGCCGGUAAAGCUUCAGUGCCUUCGUCUGCAAUUUUCCCCAUUCACCCCAGCACUCCAAGUUCUCCUGCAGUUGAUGUCAACGAGUGGGAAAGAAUCCUACAGCAGUUCAGAGCAAAGCGUGUGCAGCACAAACGCCCACGGAUGAAUGUCACCCGAAGCAGUGCUCCGAGAGACUGCAAUCAUGAUUGCCAAUAGCCAACAUCCAGUCUAAAAAUAAAAAGCCACAGCAUGGGACUGAGAGACAAGCAAUACAUCCUCUGGCAAAAUUCACCGAUCGCUGGAAAGAAAAGGCCUCACCCCUCCAUCUAGUCUUCUCCAUGCUGAAAGAAGCUUCCAUCUAACAGCAUCCUCUUCUGAUGUCAUCAAGACAUCAAGAUGGCUUGUAGAAAGCACUAGCCACCAUUUGCGGAGAUGGAUUAGGCUGAAAGGAUCCCACAUGCAGAAGGGAAGAAAACCUAAGGAAAACGUUUUCUGGGAGAGAGCCACAGUCCCAGCCUUGCUUCCUCCUGGAUGUCACAGCCCAGGAUGGAGGGACAGCUGCUAAGGACAAUGUUUCCAGGAGUAUCAGGGUGUGGAUGGGGAGAGGGGGCAAGGAGCAGAGCCAUAGGGCUGCCCUUUCCCCAUGCUGGUGCUCAGUGCAGAGGGCACCACCGUGCUGCAGAGAUGGGACCCACUGGGCUGCCCACCUUGGUACCCAGCAACAUUAGCUCUUUGGACCAAGCUUUCAGGUUGCCCUGGCUUGUACCACGUGUGGCACAUGGCCAGCCUGGCAGGAAGAAAAUACCAACAAGCUUGCAAGGCUUCUCAAUUAGCUUUUCACUACAGCCCAGGAAUUGAGACCUCAGGGUUUUGCCUAGUAUAUCAGUUUCUGCAUAUUAUACCUGACAUGGGCUUAAAUAUUUAUUUCCCUUCUUUUUGAUUAGUAUUUAACACGCAAAGAGAAUCUGUUCAUUUGUCAGCCUGACCUUGCUCAGAAUGGGGUCUGGAGACCAAUCCUUUACGUGCUGC